UGGCAGAGUUACUUUCUUCUGAGAUCUGUCUCCUUGGCUUGCUGACGACUGUCUUCACGGUGCAUCCUCCCGUGGUCUUCUCCUGUAAAAAGCCCAUGUCC